CCUACGGGAGGCAGCAGUGGGGAAUAUUGCUCAAUGGGGGAAACCCUGAUGCAGCGACGCCGCGUGAGUGAAGAAGUACUUCGGGAUGUAAAGCCCUAUUAGCAGGGAAGAAAAUGACGGUACCUGAGUCAGAAGCACCGGCUAACUACGUGCCAGCAGCCGCGGUAAUACGGAGGGGGCAAGCGUUAUCCGGAUUUACUGGGUGUAAAGGGAGCGUAGGCGGCAGUGCAAGUCUGGAGUGAAAGGCGGGGGCUCAACCCCCGGACUGCUCUGGAAACUGUACGGCUGGAGUGCAGGAGAGGUAAGUGGAAUUCCUGGUGUAGCGGUGAAAUGCGUAGAUAUUAGGAGGAACACCAGUGGCGAAGGCGGCGUACUGGACUGUAACUGACGUUGAGGCUCGAAAGCGUGGGGAGCAAACAGGAUUAGAUACCCUGGUAGUC
rnacentral:rRNA from 1 species